CCUACGGGUGGCAGCAGUGGGGAAUAUUGGGCAAUGGAGGAAACUCUGACCCAGCAACGCCGCGUGAAUGAUGAAGGUACUCGGAAUGGAAAGUUCUUUUCUAAGGGAAGAAGAAAGUGACGGUACCUUAGGAAUAAGCCUCGGCUAACUAAGGGCAAGCAGCCGCGGUAAUACGUAGGCGGCGAGCGUUAUCCGGAAUGACUCGGCGUAAAGGGUGCGUGGGUGGUUUGGCAAGUUAGUAGGGUAACUCCAAGGCUCAACCUUGGAACUACUACUAAAACUGUUGGACUUGAGUGCAGGAGGGGCAAGCGGAAUUCCUGGUGUAGCGGUGGAAUGCGUAGAUAUUAGGAGGAACACCAGUGGCGAAGGCAGGUUGCUAGACUGUAACUGACACUGAGGCACGAAAGCGUGGGGAGCAAACAGGAUUAGAUACCCCGGUAGUC
rnacentral:rRNA from 1 species